ACCUUCCCUGGAUAGAGGAGGACCGGUCUUCGGUCAAGGUUAUACGAGUAGCUGCGCUCCCCUGCUAGAACCUCCAAACAAGCUCUCAAGGUCCAAUUUUUUAUUUUAUUGAUUUUUGUUGUUGCUCCAUUUAACUGAUUUCUCUGCUUCCCUUAUUUCUUU
rnacentral:snRNA from 1 species